GACGAAGGUGGCGACCGUUGUUCGGAAUCACUGGGCAUAAAGAGCACGUAGGCGGCAAGGUAAGUCGGGUGUGAAAUCCCUCGGCCUAACCGAGGAAUUGCGCCCGAAACUACCGUGCUUGAGGAUGGAAGGGGAGCGUGGAAUUCCUGGUGGAGCGGUGAAAUGCGUUGAUAUCAGGAGGAACACCGGCGGCGAAGGCGACGCUCUGGUCCAUUUCUGACGCCGAGGUGCGAAAGCCAGGGGAGCAAACGGG
rnacentral:rRNA from 1 species